rnacentral:rRNA from 1 species
GACGAACGCUGGCGGCGUGCUUAACACAUGCAAGUCGAACGGAAAGGCCCUGCUUGCAGGGUACUCGAGUGGCGAACGGGUGAGUAACACGUGGGUGAUCUGCCCUGCACUUCGGGAUAAGCCUGGGAAACUGGGUCUAAUACCGGAUAGGAGCCAUUUUUAGUGUGAUGGUUGGAAAGUUUUUUCGGUGUAGGAUGAGCUCGCGGCCUAUCAGCUUGUUGGUGGGGUAAUGGCCUACCAAGGCGGCGACGGGUAGCCGGCCUGAGAGGGUGGACGGCCACAUUGGGACGGAGAUACGGCCAGACUCCUACGGGAGGCAGCAGUGGGGAAUAUUGCACAAUGGGCGCAAGCCUGAUGCAGCGACGCCGCGUGGGGGAUGACGGCCUUCGGGUUGUAAACUCCUUUCGCUAGGGACGAAGCUUUUGUGACGGUACCUAGAUAAGAAGCACCGGCUAACUACGUG